AUUGAACGCUGGCGGAAUGCUUUACACAUGCAAGUCGAACGGCAGCACGGACUUCGGUCUGGUGGCGAGUGGCGAACGGGUGAGUAAUACAUCGGAACGUGCCCAGUCGUGGGGGAUAACGUAGCGAAAGCUACGCUAAUACCGCAUACGAUCUAAGGAUGAAAGCGGGGGAUCGCAAGACCUCGCGCGAUUGGAGCGGCCGAUGGCGGAUUAGGUAGUUGGUAGGGUAAAGGCCUACCAAGCCGACGAUCUGUAGCUGGUCUGAGAGGAUGAUCAGCCACACUGGGACUGAGACACGGCCCAGACUCCUACGGGAGGCAGCGGUGGGGAAUUUUGGACAAUGGGCGCAAGCCUGAUCCAGCCAUUCCGCGUGCAGGAUGAAGGCCUUCGGGUUGUAAACUGCUUUUGUACAGAACGAAAAGGCUCUGGUUAAUACCCGGGGCUCAUGACGGUACUGUAAGAAUAAGCACCGGCUAACUACGUGCCAGCCGCCGCCGUAA
rnacentral:rRNA from 1 species